rnacentral:rRNA from 1 species
UACAGAGGUGGCAAACGUUGUUCGGAUUUACUGGGCGUAAAGCGCGUGUAGGCGGCUUGGCAAGUCGGAUGUGAAAGCCCACGGCUCAACCGUGGAAGCGCAUCCGAAACGGCCUCGCUCGAGUCUCGGAGAGGAAGGUGGAAUGCUUGGUGUAGAGGUGAAAUUCGUAGAUAUCAAGCAGAACACCUGCGGCGAAGGCGGCCUUCUGGACGAUGACUGACGCUGAGACGCGAAAGCGUGGGGAGCAAACAGG